rnacentral:rRNA from 1 species
GAUGAACGCUGGCGGCGUGCCUAAUACAUGCAAGUCGAGCGAAAAGACGAGGAGCUUGCUACACUUACGUUAGCGGCGGAAACGUGAGCAACACAUGGAUAACCCAUCUAUAAGACUGGGAUAACUCCGGGAAACCGGAGCUAAAAUCGGACGAUAUAUAGAACCGUAUGGUUCAUUAGUGAUAGACGCUUUUGCUGUCACUGAUAGAUGGAUCCGCGCCGAAUUAGCUAGUUGGUAAGGUAACGGCUUACCCAGGCAACGAUGCGUAGCCGACCUGAGAGGGUGGUCCGACACACUAGAACUGAGACGCGGUCCAGACUCCUACCGGAGGCAGCAGAAGAGAAUCGUCCACAAUGGACGAGAGCCUGACGUGACAACGCCGCGUCGGUGAUGGAGGGCAUCGGAUCGGAAAACUCUAUUAUUAUGAUAGAACACAUGUGUAGGUAACUAUGCACGUCUUGACGGUACCUAAUGAAAAAGCCACGGCUAACUACGUG